rnacentral:rRNA from 1 species
CAGUAACGGCGAGUGAAGCGGCAACAGCCCAGAUUUGAAAUCUGGCCUUCGGGCCCGAGUUGUAAUCUGCAGAUGAGUCUUCCGGCAAAGCGCCGUCCAAGUGCCCUGGAACGGGCCGCCGGAGAGGGUGAGAGCCCCGUACCGACGUGCGCCGCGCCUCUGUGAAGCUCAUUCGAAGAGUCGAGUAGUUUGGAAAUGCUGCUCUAAUUGUGGGGUAAAUCUCCCAUAAGGCUAAAUACCGGCCAGAGACCGAUAGCGCACAAGUAGCGUGAGCGAAAGAUGAAAAGAGCCUUGAACAAGGGCGUCAAAAAGCAUGUGAAAUUGUUGUGGGGGAAGCGUUCGAUGCCAGACAUGGCGGCGGUUGGUUACCCGGCGUUCUUCGCCGGCGCACUCUGCCGUCGCCAGGCCAGCAUCAGUUCGGAUCGAGGCCCACUGCCAGCAGGAACGUGGCUCCUUCGGGAGUGUUAUAGCCUGUUGGUAACGUCUCGGACCGGACUGAGGACCGCGCUUCGGCUCGGAUGCUGGCGUAAUGGCCUCUAGCGACCCGUCUUGAAACACGGACCAAGGAGUUGACCUAGCGUGCGAGUGUUUGGGUGUCAAGCCCUUACGCGCAGUGAAAGCGAAUGCAGGUGGGAGCUUCGGCGCACCAUCGACCGAUCCUGAAGUUUACGGAUGGAUUUGAGUAAGAGCACGUUGGGUCUGACCCGAAAGAAGGUGAACUAUGCAUGAAUAGGGUGAAGCCAGAGGAAACUCUGGUGGAGGCUCGCAGCGGUUCUGACGUGCAAAUCGAUCGUCAAAUUUGUGCAUGGGGGCGAAAGACCAAUCGAACCUUCUAGUAGCU